UACAGAGGUCCCAAGCGUUGUUCGGAUUCACUGGGCGUAAAGGGUGCGUAGGUGGUGAGGUAAGUCGGAUGUGAAAUCUCCGAGCUCAACUCGGAAAUGGCAUUGGAAACUACCUUGCUCGAGGGUUGGAGGGGGGACUGGAAUGCUUGGUGUAGCAGUGAAAUGCGUAGAUAUCAAGCGGAACACCAGUGGCGAAGGCGAGUCUCUGGACGACUCCUGACACUGAGGCACGAAAGCUGGGGGAGCAAACAGG
rnacentral:rRNA from 1 species